rnacentral:rRNA from 1 species
GACGAACGCUGGCGGCGUGCUUAACACAUGCAAGUCGAACGGAAAGGCCCUGCUUUUGUGGGGUGCUCGAGUGGCGAACGGGUGAUUAACCCGUGAUUAACCUGCCCUUGACUUUGGGUUAACUUCAGGAAACUGGGGCUAUUACCGGAUAGAAGCUCCUGCUGCAUGGUGGGGGUUGGAAAGUUUCGGCGGUUGGGGAUGGACUCGCGGCUUAUCAGCUUGUUGGUGGGGUAGUGGCUUACCAAGGCUUUGACGGGUAGCCGGCCUGAGAGGGUGACCGGCCACAUUGGGACUGAGAUACGGCCCAGACUCCUACGGGAGGCAGCAGUGGGGAAUAUUGCACAAUGGGCGGAAGCCUGAUGCAGCAACGCCGCGUGCGGGAUGACGGCCUUCGGGUUGUAAACCGCUUUCGCCUGUGACGAAGCGUGAGUGACGGUAAUGGGUAAAGAAGCACCGGCUAACUACGUG